rnacentral:lncRNA from 1 species
CAGGCACAUACACUGAGACACACAGACUGAUAUACUGACACACACACACACAGACAUACUGGCACACAGACAGAUAUACUGACACAUGCAUACACAUGCACUAACAGACAUACUGACGCACUGACAGACAUACUGACACAUACACAUACUGACACACACAGAUAUACACACAUAUAUAUACUGACACACAGACAGACAGACAUACUGACACACACACACAGAC